UUUUUUUUUGCUUUUGCUACUUUUCAUUUGCUGUUUUCUCUUUAUUAAUUUGUAUUUCCUUUUUUGUUUGUUUUUUAUUCCAUUUUGUUCUUUUAAAUACAUGUUGAAUAUUCUCUCAAAAAUUGCAAGAACAUUUUUCUAAAACUAAUGUGAAUAUUUUUCAAACACAUGUUGAACUUUUUCCAAACACAUAUUGAAAUUUUUCCAAACACAUAAUAAACAUCUUUAGAAUACACGGUGAACAAUUCUUAAACAUGCGGAGAAAUUUUUUCAACCCAUGGUGAAGAUUUUUUUUAAUUCAUGAAUAUUUUUCCCAAAUUUGUGAACAUGGUGGACAAUCAAUUAAUCAGCAAGCAUUUCUGAGAGUUGUUAAUAUUUUAUGAACAUUUUGAAAAUGCAUGACAUUUAAAAAAAUCUUGAUGCACAUAUUUUUGAAAUAUGAAAGCUUGUAAAAAAAUGCCUGACCAUUUUUUAGCUUCACGGAUAUUUUACAAAAAAAUAUGCAUUUUUUAAAGAAACAUGAAAAAUAUAAGUGCUUUUCCAACCCAAACAUGCUAAAAACUUAAACAGGAAAAAAAGGUUUUUUCAAUGCCAAUGUACACACUGCUAUUAUGUAACACGGGACAAAUCAUAGUUUUGCUAAAACAGAGCAGACCAUGUGCUAGUUGAAUAAAAUCAAGGAGUCACUAACAAGCGGGAAAUAAAACAUCUAUUUUGUAUUUUAAGUAUAAAUAAUAGCUGGAAAUAAAAGUACAUGGAAAUAAGAUUUUAGAUUUUUUUUAUUGAAAGUGCAUCUAGUCCUUCCUAGUGGGUUUUGAUGACUAAUUACAAAUCAUUAAGGGAUUAGUGUGUUUAAUGAGUAUACAUGUGAUGUUUAUUGAACCUAGACUAGAGACGUCGAUCACUAAAAUUGUGGAGAGCAUGAAAUACAUGGUUUGUCUCCCAGAGAUUUAGUGGAGAUUUUAUAGCUUUCAGUGCCUCAGUGAGUCGCUUGAGUUUUAAGAGUGAGUAUAAUAAGGUGAUGUAAGCGGGAUAUAAGGGUUUGAAUAUCAUAUUAUUGUUGAGUUGAAAGAGAUAUAAAAUAAGCAGGUCAUAGAUUAAGUGUCAGUUAUAACGGGGAUUUCAAGGAACUUUAUGAGAAUGCAAGGUGUGCUAUGUGUUCACAAAGUAGUACUACGUCUCUCUAGGUUUAUUAGUCCUUAUCGUAUUUUGGGUCAAAGCUUGACCAUAUAUUUGAUUAGCAAAAAAUUAAUGCAUGCCACAGAUAAAUAAUAUUAUGGAAUUUGAAUUUGAAGGUAAUUUUCAAUGAUAUUAUUUUUUAUACAUAUAACUUAUAUUUUAUAUCAGUUAAAAUCAUGGUGGAAAUAUGAUUCAAAAUACGACGGGACCAGUAAAUCAGGACGGAGGAAGUACUUCUUGAACUUCUAUGCAUGUUGGAUAUUAGAUUGGCUAUAAAUGAUAUGGCAACAUUAUAUAGGCAACAACUGACUUACAACCAUGCUCUAAGGCAAAAAAAGGUGCAUACACGUCAAAUCUCAUAUCAAUAGUGUAAUUUACUAGCAUCCUUUUACUUUUCGGACAAGGAGAAAAUAAAAAGAUGGAUUGGUAGCAUUUAGCAAGGUAGUCAUCACAUCCAAACCAACCAAAUAAUUGAUCCCAAUGUGAAGUUUACAAACAAGGGGUAGAAAAAUGCGAUAGGGCCCAAAACAUGUAGGCUAGUAGCAUUUCGGUAACACGGCACAAUUGAUCAGUUCCAACACGCGUGAGGAUGGAACUUUGGUCUCUGUUCUCAGAAGCAGGCGUCCAAGAGACAACAGCAGCAAAGCGCGGCCAGGCUGUUGGAACAAUAUCAUAAGAGAAUCAUGAGAUAUAAUCAAGGCGAGUUUCUAAACAAAGAAAAAAAAAGAAGAAAAUUACUAAAUCGACAAUAAUUAAUACGAAUCAAAAGGAUUGCUAUAACCACAUAUCCAAAUGUUGACAGAUUUGUACAAAACGAAGAUUAUACAACUGAGAAGUGGGUUCGUUCCACCUUACAUUCUUGUUCUUUUAUUGUAAAGACUAGUACUCCCUCAGUUAAUACUGAUGUUCAUAUUAGGCAUGAUAUUAAUUAUUGAAGGGUGCUAAACAUGUUUAACACUGAACACCGGAGUGACUUAAACCAUUGGAUAGAUGCGGUUGAACGCAUAUAACCUGUUGGACCUCUGUAACUCGCUCUUUAUAUUGGGAGAAAAUUCCUUAUUUGACACUAUCUUAAAAUCUGCUUCCUUAUUUGACACUGAAAUAGUUUUUCUUCUUUAUUUGACACAAGUUCUAAAUUUUAUUCCCUAUAUGACAUUUUCGUCCAUUUUAAGUCUAAAUGACACCUGAAAAGACUCGUUUGCCCCUCAUGUGGUAUGUGUAUGGGGGGCAAUAGCGCACACACGCAGCAUCAAUGCGAAAGCAGAAGCACACAUGCAUCAACACAUACACAUGCACCAACACACACGCACACACACACACACACACACACGCACGCGCGCGUGCACACACACACGCACACUCACACACAUGCACGCGCGCGUGCACACACACACGCACACUCACACACACGUAGCAACACACACGCACGCAGCACACACCCACAUACACACACACGCAGCAGCACACACGCAGGCAUCACAUAGGCACGCAACAACACACACACGCGCACGUACACACGCAGUAGCAAACACACACGCAGCAGCACACAUGCACACACACAUGCAGCAGUAGCACACAUGUGCGCCUGCACCCACACACGCACGCGAGCACACAUACCACAUGAGAGGCAAAAUCGUCUUUUCAGGUGUCAUUUAGACUCAAAAUGAACGGAAGUGUCGUAUAGGGAAUAAAAUUUAGGACUAGUGCCAAAUAGGGAAGAAAAACUUUUCCAGUGUCAAAUAAGGAAUCAGAUUUUAAGACAGUGCCAAAUAAGAAAUUUUCUCUUAUAUUGGAAUUCAAUAUAGAAUACAGAAAUAGAUAUAGAGGAAAGCCAUUUAUUGCCACAAAUUGCAAGUUCCCGCUAAUUAGGCUAGUUAUAGUGGAAGUAACUUAGGUAGUAACAUAGCGCACCUCGAGAAUUUUUUGCUUAUGUGACAAAUAGUUAAUGAGAAGUAGUAACAUAAUAUGUUACUGUAACAUAACGUUUUUCAAGACAAUAUGAGUCUACAAGCUAUUAAAUGAGGCCACAUAUGACACUAGUAUUAUAUUACUUUGUACUAUGAAGAUAGUAACUUAGACUAGUGUCAUGCAUAUGACACUAGUCUAAGUUACUUCCCACUAUCUGUAUGUACGACAGACGACAUUGGUGCUGGCGGGCGCCGGGCGCCGUCUACAAAACACCAGAUAUUGGUCAAGUGGGGGGAGGUGGGCAUAUUCCAAGCAAUCUGUAGAGAACCAAUUAUCGUAACACCAGCACAUGGUCGCAUGUGAAAUGCUGAAUUUUAUACUGCUCUAGAACACUUCACAGCAAAUGAAUUUGGACGAUUUCCAGCUUUUGCAUCUUGUCCGUCCGCCGGCCGCCGGAGAAGAUAUCAUCAUCAUGAAGAUCAUAUACUUCGAUCGUCAAGAUAUCUAUGCCGAUAUCUUCUCGGUUAUGGAAGCUACCGCUCUUGAUCUCAUCAAUGAAAUCUCCGGGUAUAUAUGAAUAUCAGGUACGAACAGGUAGGAUUCGUACGUCCCGUUUGACCGAGAUUAAUCAUAGGCGCGCCCUUUGCCAUUAAUUUGCGAUUGACACGUCCUGGAGGUCUCCCCGUUUCCACGGUACAGUAGCUCGCGCGUCAAGUCGCCGUCCCUACCCAUGGAAACGUGCGCGGAACGAAGCCUAGCUAGCUAACUCGCCGGCGGCGACCCGGGCUGAUCUGAGCCCAGCUAUACCUAAGUUCCUAACUCUUUGAACAACCACGUAGUUUGGAUCGAAAUUAAGAGAGAGGAAGUGCCGUACGUACCAUCCUUGCAUGAAGGAAGGCCCGCUGUUCUGCUGCUGCUGCUGGGGCGGGUAGCCCUGCUGGCCGUAUCCGGCCGGCGGGUAGCCCUGCUGUGGCGGCGGGUAGCCGGCCGGAGGGUACCCCUGCGGCGGGUAACCUGGAGAAUUGAAGGUCCACGCGCCACGCAAGGUCAAUUCUGUUCAGCAGUCGGGCAAAAGGUAGAAGGAGAAGUUGAUGAAAGGAGGCUGUCAUACCUUGCUGCGGCGGGGCGCCGACGGGCGCCUGCUGCUGGCCGUAGUAGCUCAUCUCCUUCCGGCCGGGGGUUUCUACUUUCUGGUCGGUCUCUCGCGCUGGCGCUGUGCAGUUCUACGGCUUGUGUUGGGCCGAGUGGUUUUAUAAAACGCGCCGGGAACGUGACUGACCUGGCUGGUGGG
rnacentral:lncRNA from 1 species